rnacentral:rRNA from 1 species
GGAGUUAGCCGGUGCUUCUUCUGUGAGUGAUGUCCUUCCUGCCGGCUAUUAACCCGCAGGCCUUCUUCCUCACUGAAAGUGCUUUACAACCCGAAGGCCUUCUUCACACACGCGGCAUGGCUGGAUCAGGGUUGCCCCCAUUGUCCAAUAUUCCCCACUUCUGCCUCCCGUAGGAGUCUGGGCCGUGUCUCAGUCCCAGUGUGGCUGAUCAUCCUCUCAGACCAGCUACGGAUCGUCGCCUUGGUGAGCCGUUACCUCACCAACCAGCUAAUCCGACAUAGGCUCAUCCGAUAGCGCGAGGCCCGAAGGUCCCCCGCUUUCCCCCGUAGGGCGUAUGCGGUAUUAGCCUGGGUUUCCCCAGGUUAUCCCCCACUACCGGGCAGAUUCCUAUGCAUUACUCACCCGUCCGCCGCUCGCCACCAGGGAGCAAGCUCCCCGUGCUGCCGCUCGACUUGCAUGUGUUAGGCCUGCCGCCAGCGUUCAAUCUGAGCCAGGAUCAAACUCUGA